rnacentral:rRNA from 1 species
UGGAGUACGACGGCAGUGAUUAGAGUUUGAUCCUGGCUCAGAACGAACGCUGGCGGCGCGUCUUAAGCAUGCAAGUCGGGCGGGAUCGUGGUGCUUGCACCACGUGAGAGCGGCGGACUGGCGAGGAGCGCGUGGGUGACGCACCCCCCGGACGGGGACAGCCGGCAGAAAUGCCGGGUGAUACCGGAUGAGGUCCCCCUUCUUGGAAGAGGGGGAGGAAAGGGGCUUCGGCCCCGCCGGGGGAGCGGCCCGCGUCCCAUCAGCCUGUAGGCGGUGUAACGGACCACCUAAGCUAUGACGGGUACCCGGACUGAGAGGUCGGACGGGCGCAUUGGGACUGAGAUACGGCCCAGACUCCUACGGGAGGCAGCAGCUAAGAAUAUUCCGCAAUGGGGGGAACCCUGACGGAGCGACGCCGCGUGGGCGAUGAAGGCCGGAAGGUUGUAAAGCCCUUUUAUGCGCGAGGAAUAAGGAGGGGAGGCAAUGCCCCUCCGGUGACUGUAGCGCAUGAAUAAGCGCCGGCUAAUUACGUGCCAGCAGCCGCGGUAACACGUAAGGCGCAAGCGUUGUUCGGAAUCAUUGGGCGUAAAGGGCGUGUAGGCGGCCGCAUAAGUCGGGAGUGAAAGGCGCGGGCUCAACCCGCGGACUGCUCCCGAUACUGUGCGGCUCGAGUCCCCGUGGCGCGGCCGGAAUUCCAGGUGUAGGGGUGAAAUCUGUAGAUAUCUGGAAGAACACCGGUGGCGAAGGCGGGCCGCGAGCGGGAGACUGACGCUGAGGCGCGAAGGUGCGGGUAGCGAACAGGAUUGGAUACCCUGGUAGUCCGCACAGUAAACGAUGCACGCUGGGCGUCCGGCGCAUGGCCGGGUGCCGAAGCGAACGCGGUAAGCGUGCCGCCUGGGGAGUAUGCCCGCAAGGGUGAAACUCAAAGGAAUUGACGGGGGCCCGCACAAGCGGUGGAGCAUGUGGUUUAAUUCGAUGGUACGCGAGGAACCUUACCCGGGUUUGACAUGCAC